rnacentral:tRNA from 1 species
GCGAAUAUAACUUAGUUGGUAGAGUGCUGGUUUGUGGUUCCAGAAGUCAUGGGUUCAACUCCCAUUAUUCGCC